rnacentral:rRNA from 1 species
AUUGAACGCUGGCGGCAGGCCUAACACAUGCAAGUCGAACGAGUGGCGGACGGGUGAGUAAUGUCUGGGAAACUGCCUGAUGGAGGGGGAUAACUACUGGAAACGGUAGCUAAUACCGCAUACCAUCGGAUGUGCCCAGAUGGGAUUAGCGAGUAGGUGGGGUAACGGCUCACCUCGGCGAGGAUCCCUAGCUGGUCUGAGAGGAUGACCGGCCACACGGGAACGGAGACACGGUCCAGACUCCUACGGGGGGCAGCAGGGGGGAAUAUUGCACAAUGGGCGAAAGCCUGAUGCAGCCAUGCGGCGUGUGUGAAGAGGGCUUUCGGGUUGUAAAGCACUUUCAGCGGGGAGGCGUUACCCGCAGAAGAAGCACCGGCUAACUCCGUGCCAGCAGCCGCGGUAAUUC